rnacentral:rRNA from 1 species
CGAGAAGCUUGCUUCUCUGAUGUUAGCGGCGGACGGGUGAGUAACACGUGGAUAACCUACCUAUAAGACUGGGAUAACUUCGGGAAACCGGAGCUAAUACCGGAUAAUAUUUUGAACCGCAUGGUUCAAAAGUGAAAGACGGUCUUGCUGUCACUUAUAGAUGGAUCCGCGCUGCAUUAGCUAGUUGGUAAGGUAACGGCUUACCAAGGCAACGAUGCAUAGCCGACCUGAGAGGGUGAUCGGCCACACUGGAACUGAGACACGGUCCAGACUCCUACGGGAGGCAGCAGUAGGGAAUCUUCCGCAAUGGGCGAAAGCCUGACGGAGCAACGCCGCGUGAGUGAUGAAGGUCUUCGGAUCGUAAAACUCUGUUAUUAGGGAAGAACAUAUGUGUA